rnacentral:rRNA from 1 species
UACGUAGGGUGCAAGCGUUAAUCGGAAUUACUGGGCGUAAAGUGUGCGCAGGCGGCGUCGCAAGUCGAGUGUGAAAGCCCCGGGCUUAACUUGGGAAUGGCGCUCGAAACUACGAUGCUGGAGUGUGGCAGAGGAAGGUGGAAUUCCACGUGUAGCGGUGAAAUGCGUAGAGAUGUGGAGGAACACCGAUGGCGAAGGCAGCCUUCUGGGCCAACACUGACGCUCAUGCACGAAAGCGUGGGGAGCAAACAGG